rnacentral:rRNA from 1 species
UACAGAGGCCCCAAGCGUUACUGAGAAUCACUGGGUUUAAAGGGUGCGUAGGUGGCGCGUUAAGUCCGUUGUGAAAUCCCUUGGCUCAACCAAGGAACUGCUUCGGAUACUGGCGUGCUUGAGGCUAGUAGAGGUCACUGGAACUGACGGUGGAGCGGUGAAAUGCGUAGAUAUCGUCAGGAACGCCAAUGGUGAAGACAGGUGACUGGGCUAGUACUGACACUGAGGCACGAAAGCGUGGGGAGCGAACGGG